rnacentral:rRNA from 1 species
ACCGGAAAAAGAGGAGUGGCGAACGGGUGAGUAACACGUGGGUAACCUGCCCAUCAGAAGGGGAUAACACUUGGAAACAGGUGCUAAUACCGUAUAACAAUCAAAACCGCAUGGUUUUGAUUUGAAAGGCGCUUUCGGGUGUCGCUGAUGGAUGGACCCGCGGUGCAUUAGCUAGUUGGUGAGGUAACGGCUCACCAAGGCCACGAUGCAUAGCCGACCUGAGAGGGUGAUCGGCCACAUUGGGACUGAGACACGGCCCAAACUCCUACGGGAGGCAGCAGUAGGGAAUCUUCGGCAAUGGACGAAAGUCUGACCGAGCAACGCCGCGUGAGUGAAGAAGGUUUUCGGAUCGUAAAACUCUGUUGUUAGAGAAGAACGAGGAUGAGAGUAACUGUUCAUCCCUUGACGGUAUCUAACCAGAAAGCCACGGCUAACUACGUGCCAGCAGCCGCGGUAAUACGUAGGUGGCAAGCGUUGUCCGGAUUUAUUGGGCGUAA